rnacentral:rRNA from 1 species
CCUACGGGUGGCAGCAGUGGGGAAUAUUGCACAAUGGGGGAAACCCUGAUGCAGCGACGCCGCGUGAGUGAAGAAGUAUUUCGGUAUGUAAAGCUCUAUCAGCAGGGAAGCAACCCACCCUCCGGGUUGGCUGACGGUACCUGACUGAGGAGCCCCGGCUAACUACGUGCCAGCAGCCAGGGGAAGUCGUAGGGAGCAAGCGUUAGCCAGCUUUACUUGGUGGAAAGGGAGGGUAUACGGUGCAGCAAGGAGGAUGUGAAAGGUAGGGGCCCAACCCCCGGCCUGCAUUGGAAACUGUUGAUCUGGAGUAGAGGAGAGGUAAGCGGAAUUGCUAGUGUAGCGGUGAAAGGCGUAGAUAUUAGGCGGAACACCAGUGGCGAAGGCGGCUUACCGG